GGGGAAUAUUGCACAAUGGGGGAAACCCUGAUGCAGCAACGCCGCGUGAGUGAUGACGGCCUUCGGGUUGUAAAACUCUGUCUUUGGGGACGAUAAUGACGGUACCCAAGGAGGAAGCCACGGCUAACUACGUGCCAGCAGCCGCGGUAAUACGUAGGUGGCAAGCGUUGUCCGGAUUUACUGGGCGUAAAGGAUGUGUAGGCGGAUAUUUAAGUGAGAUGUGAAAUCCCCGGGCUUAACUUGGGGGCUGCAUUUCAAACUGGAUGUCUAGAGUGCAGGAGAGGAAAGUAGAAUUCCUAGUGUAGCGGUGAAAUGCGUAGAGAUUAGGAAGAAUACCAGUGGCGAAGGCGCCUUUCUGGACUGUAACUGACACUGAGGCUCGAAAGCGUGGGGAGCAAAC
rnacentral:rRNA from 1 species